rnacentral:tRNA from 1 species
GCCGUGGUGGCACAAUCUGGUACUGCGCAAGCCUGGAAAGCUUGUUUCCUUUGGGAUAUCCCGGUUCAAAUCCGGGCCACGGCG